GACGAACGCUGGCGGCGUGCUUAACACAUGCAAGUCGAACGGUAAGGCCCCAGCUUGCUGGGGUACACGAGUGGCGAACGGGUGAGUAACACGUGGGUGACCUGCCCCGCACUUCGGGAUAAGCCUGGGAAACUGGGUCUAAUACCGGAUAGGACCGCACCGUGAGGGUGUGGUGGAAAGUUUUUCGGUGUGGGAUGGGCCCGCGGCCUAUCAGCUUGUUGGUGGGGUAAUGGCCUACCAAGGCGGCGACGGGUAGCCGGCCUGAGGGGGUGGACGGCCAAAUGGGGACUGGGACACGGCCCAGACCCCUACGGGGGGGAGCGGGGGGGAAUAUUGCACAAGGGGGGGAAGCCUGAUGCAGGGACGCCGGGGGGGGGAUGACGGCCUUGGGGUGGUAAACUCCUUUCCCCCUCGACGAAGGUUUUCGGGGGGUAGGUGGAGAAGAAGCACCGGCUAACUACGG
rnacentral:rRNA from 1 species